GUUUUUAUGCUUGCAUAAAAACAUACUGAGUGGCGGACGGGUGAGUAACACGUAAGAACCUACCUUUUGGAGAGGGACAACCACUGGAAACGGUGGCUAAUACCUCAUAUUGCUGAGAAGUGAAAUGAUGAAUAAUCGCCAAGAGAUGGGCUUGCGUCUGAUUAGCUAGUUGGUGGGGUAAUGGCUUACCAAGGCGAUGAUCAGUAGCUGGUCUGAGAGGAUGAUCAGCCACACUGGGACUGAGACACGGCCCAGACUCCUACGGGAGGCAGCAGUGAGGAAUUUUCCGCAAUGGGCGAAAGCCUGACGGAGCAAUGCCGCGUGAAGGAUGAAGGCCUGUGGG
rnacentral:rRNA from 1 species